rnacentral:lncRNA from 1 species
UUUUAUUAUUAUCAUAGUAUAAAAUCUUCUUUGAUAGUGGUAGCAACUCUAACAGGUAAACUUUUUUAAAAUGACUAAAAACACCAGCUGGCUGCUAAUGGUUACAAACAUACUUACCUAAAAAGGGGUGCUAAUGGUCUCUAUUGUACCUUUUCUUCAUAUCACAUCAAAAGGACUUUCAUAAACGUAGAUUAAGUGUGUUAGUCCUGCAUCAUACUUUUGCAUUAUGGAUGUUAUGUUGGCAGCCUAUGCAAUGCAUGGUUCGUGGUACGUAGGGCUAUCUCUUUGAUGCUCUAUCAAGUUUGCAGUCACUGGGAAAUGUGGCACUUAGUUUUAAACUUCAGUAGGUACAAAACUAGAUUUAGAUUAUAUCUUGUUAUCUGGAGAACAUGUAGCAAGAUAUGAUACAACAUGCAUGCUGUGUGCAAAAAGACUUUAUCAUUAGCAAGAUAUGAUACAACAUGCAUGCAUGUAGUACUUAAAAGAGUUUGCUCAUCAAAAAACCAGUAAGAAUUGUUUGUACUUUACGGUUACAUAAACAACACCAAUAGCUAUGCAACUAGACUUUUUUAACCUCUGUACUUGAUGUUGAUUGUGAACGUUUUUUUUCCUUCUGUUGGUAAGUUGCUUGUUUAAUAUUAUUAUGCAAUGCAGAUUGCAGACUUUUCUCUAAAUAUUCAUAAUUAUUCGGUGCCUUCACAUAAACCUUCUUUUAUAUUCCCUUGUUGCUUUUCUUGAUUAUCUUCUUAGGGUUGCUGCAUUUUACUUCCUUAAUCUUUAUGUUAAAGGGUGUGCCUAUAGCAUUAAGCCUAGGGAGUGAUAAUGCUCGACACUGGAGUUGUGGAUGAGCCGAAGCACAAACUUAUAAUAGGCAUCCUAGGCCUAAGUGUAUAAUUAAUGAUAAAUAAAAGGUUUGUUUGAUUCUUACGAAUUAGAUACAAACUUUAAAGCUAAUAAGCA